CGCGUAGGCGGUUUUGUAAGUCGGAUGUGAAAUCCCGGGCUUAACCUGGGAACUGCAUUCGAUACUGCAUAACUAGAGUGUGGUAGAGGGAAGUGGAAUUCCGGGUGUAGCGGUGAAAUGCGUAGAUAUCCGGAGGAACACCAGUGGCGAAGGCGACUUCCUGGGCCAAUACUGACGCUGAGGUGCGAAAGCGUGGGGAGCAAACA
rnacentral:rRNA from 1 species